rnacentral:lncRNA from 1 species
UAAGUUCAUUUGAAGCAUAUAUAUAUUUUUAAAGUGUUAAGUGCAGAAAAAAAUAAUAGCAGUGGUUAAAAGCGGGGGUGGGGGGAGAAACGCGUGUAAGGGUGUGAGUUACCAACGCAUCUAAAUAAGUUCCCGCUCAGAAUUUAUACAUUCAGGAGGGUGAGAGUAGAUCAUGCAGGAAAAGGGCCAAAAUUUUUUUUCCUUUUGCAUGCAGAAAAAGGAAAAAAUGCUUCUAACUUAAAAUGCAGGUUUUUUCGGAUAGAAGUAGUCCUUGAAUCCCUGCCCCACCCCACCGCCGCCCCGUCUUUCAGAAAUUCCUCUUCUGGAAUUGGGGCCUUAGACCACGCGCUUCCCCAGGAAACAAUCAGAUUAAUUUCCAACUGGGUGGAAGGAAGUGGUAUCUAAAAAUGAAAAAAUGAACAAGGGAGGCUCUAAUGGCAAUGCCUCAGGGACUUGCUCCCUCCUUCACCACCGUUUCCCUUUUCAUCUGUAGGCUCUAGGUUCUGCGGCGCGUUGAGGUGGCGGGCAAGGAAGAGCCUCUCCCUCCUCGCCCCGCGGGCGGUCUCGGCGCCCGGCGCGCGCGGGCCCUUUAAGAGCUACACCAGCCGAGCUGCAGUUUGACAUCAGCCGGCCGGCGUGGGCGCGCCUGGAGCCGGAGCACGUGCCAGGAUGUUUUAUUGCCGCCGCGGCUGCGGCCGGGCCGGGAGGAUGUGUGCGUGCGUGCGUGUGUGUGAGUGUGUGUGCGCGCGCCCCGGGGGCAGGGAGGCGGGGGGCGGCGGCGGGCGGCGGAGAGCGGGGGCCGGUUCCUGGUCCCCGGGAGAAGCCAAGAAGUGGGAGGAAAGGACUGGAGGAAUAGAACAGAGGACCUGUCAGGAGGCUGGCUCAAUAGACCAGGUGACAAGGAAGGAAGGAUGAAAGUCUGAGGACCCUGACACAAGGUGAGUGAUGGAGGAAGGCUGAGGAUGAAAAAUGAAUGAGACCUGUUUGUUGACUGACAUAGAGGUCAGGAUGAAGCCCACAUUACUAGGUUUCUAGGCCACGUGACAGGGUGAAUGGUGACUGCAGAAUAACCCCAGAGACAGAGCAGCAAUUUAAAACAGGAUUUCAGACAGAUGGAGAGAGAGAGAAAAGUGGACUUUCAUUUGAUGCAUUCUGUUUUUUUCCAUGUUUGAAAAGAAAAGGAUAAAUGCAUCUAUUCCUUGGAGUUACUAAUUAAUUAGUAUAUAUGAAAGCACCUAGGACAUGCCAGUCACAUAGUACCUUCCCAAUAAAUGCUAAUUCCAUCCAUUCAUCUAUUUAUUAUUUAUAUCAGUUUGCAAGUUUGGAGAGAAAUAAUUAGUUUAAUUAGGACCAUAUCAAACAUUACAAACUCAUUCUGAGUAAAGACAUCUUUAGCCAAGGGGCUCUCUGUAGGCUCAGAUCACUUCCAGCCACUUGAUUGGACCAUAGUUCAAGGCCAGAAAUUUGUUUUCACAAACAUCAGGACUUUUUUUCUCUCUUCCUUUCAUUACCAACCCCCUGCCCCUGCUGCCAUCCUUUUCUAGGUCUCUCAUGUAGUAACUGCCAAAAAAUAAAGUGCACAAACAUUAUGUGAAAAGCAUAUAUAUAUGUGUGUGUGUGUGUGUGUGUGUGUGUGUGUGUGUGUGUAUAUAUAUAUAUGAAGUCCCACUCGGUUGCCAGGCUGGAGUGCAGUGGCGUGAUCUCAGCUUACUGAAACCUCCGUCUCCCAAGUUCAAGAGAUUCUCCUGCCUCAGUCUCCCAAGUAGCUGGGACUACAGGCGCACGCCACCAUGCCCAGCUAAGUUUUAUAUUUUUAUUAGAGACGAGGUUUCACCAUGUUAGCCAGGAUGGUCUCAAUCUCUUGACCUUGUCAUCCACCUGCCUCUGCCUCCCAAAGUGCUGCGAUUACAGGCAUGAGCCACCUCGCCCAGCUGUGAAAAGCAUAAUUAAUUGAACUCAUGAGUUUAUUCAGUUGACUCUUCUGAGGACAUACCUGUGCCAGGCCGUUGUACAUAGAUGUGGGAGAGACUGUGGCAUCCUCCUCUUCUCCAUAAUCGGACAGUACUGUUAGCACUGAGGCUCACAGAGUUGCCUUGCCUUGGGAGAUGCAGGCUCCAGUGAGAGUGCCCCAUGGAGCCUGGCCUCAGUUGCAAGCCUUCAAGGUGAUGAGCAACGCCAGGCACUCUUGCUCAGGC